UCCUCAGUAACUUAGUGGUAGAGCGGUCGACUGCUAAUUGAUUGGUUGUCGGUUCAAAUCCUACUUGAGGAG